ACCAGUUAAUGGAAUUACAUAUCAAUAAAAACGAAGACAGUAUACAAAAAGUUGGUUCAUUAUUAAAAAAGUUAGAAAAUUAUACAAAAACAUACAAACAACUACAAUUUAUGUUCGAACUGUGAACCGCCUUCAUCAUUACAUUUUUGGCAUUGCUUAUAUAUGGUAAAUAGCAUUAAACCCGGUGGUAAGCCCCUACAUUUUGUUACCAAUUAGAUAGACGAAUAUUCCUAUCGAGGAAAGAGGUUUCAGAUAUUGCGCAAGGCACGACGAUCUGUAACCAAUGACGAAGGUGCUUUACACAACACGAGAAGAAGAAGUUUAAGGUUAUUGAUGUUUGAAAACAGAGUUUCAAACCUUCCAAGAGAAUAACAGGGUCAAAUAUCCAUAUGAUAAGUUUAGUUGAACUGAAACCUAAAACCAGACUGGAAGAACUAAUGGAUAAUUACUGAAGUUACAGAAGACACUAAUUAGUAGGAAUUUACCUGCCUAAACUCUUCUGAGAUAACCCAAGAAAAUUAAUAUUGAAAAUCAAAUACUCUAUUCUUAUUCUGUUUGUUCUAUAUCGUUAUCUUCAUUAGGUAUUGGCUUAUAGAAUCGACCUUUUAUCUACUUCAUAGGGGGUUAUCAAUAAAUUAUUGUUUUUUCAA